CACCACUAUCAAAGUUCAAAUUAAAUUCAUCAUCAAAGUACAUAUAUGCCACCAUAUAUCACCUCAAGAUUCAUUUUCUUGCAGGCAUAUUCAAUACAUCUAUAGAAUAAUGACCUUAAGCGAAUCAAUAAAUGCCCAACUGGGGCGUUCAAUCAGAGUGCAGAAAACUACAAACUGCGCAAAUACAAAAAGAAAGGAACACCUAUAAUAAAUAAAUACGCAAUAAAUAGAGAGGACAUGAGAUGGAAGUGAGUCCAGUGAUUGUGGGAACAUUUCAGUGAUGGGGCAAGUGAAGUUGUGUGAACUUAACCCCUUUGGUUCAAUGAUGUUCUCCUCACCUUCGAGGAGAUCUUAAAAGAUUGUGCCUCGAGAGGGCAGUGUCCGUCAUUGAGGACCCUCACCCUGUAUUUGUUACUUCCUCUGGAAAUGAAGUUGAGUGAAGUUAUCCCCUUUGGUACAAGGGCCAGAUGGCUGAGGGGUAAUAAUGGUUCCUGAACCUGGUAGUGAGUGUCCUAAAGCUCCUGUACUUUCUUCCUUUCUUUUUCAAAUCUUUUUAUUGUUAUAUACAGGAAAAAAUAACAUGAGUACAUUGAAGUAACAACACUUACAAUAGCUCAAAAAAAACAUUAUCUUAAAGAUUGAAAAAAAAAUUUUGUGAUAACAAAAAAAACCUACUAAGCAGAUAAGAGAGAAAAAAAAGAACCCAUUAGGUGUACAACCCCGGAGCCAUGCGUUAUACAAAAAGCUUCUAAAAAUAAACAUCAAACCGCCAGCAAGAAAAGAAAAUAUACUAAAAAAAUUUACAAUUAGAUUGUGGAAAAAUUAUAUCAAUUAACUCAAAUGAUAAUAACCAGCAAAUGAGCCCCAUCUUCUCUCAAAAUCAAAUAAAGGUUCAAAGGUUCGACUUCUAAUUUUCUCCAAACUAAGACAUAGCAUCACUUGAGAGAACCAUUGUGACAAAGUGGGAGCUGAUGUAUCCUUCCACUUCAACAAAAUGGCCCUAACUGUACUUUCUUCCUGAUGGCAACAACGACCUGGGUGGUGGGGUUCCCUAAUGAUGAAUGCUGCCUUCCUACGACAGUGUUUCAGGUAGGCGUGUAUCAAGUCAGCCCCUAGCCUUUCUUGCCUCAAGGAAUACAAGCCCUGCCUAACCAAUCUCCCAACACCCAACCCCACCAUAACUAAAAUCCCCCAAGCCAGUGUAAUAACAUCCUUCCAGAACCUCACAGAAUACCCCAAGUGUUACCUAACCAGUAUUUCAACAUAACAGCCUAACCCUUUUAUUCUAUGCCCCAGCCUAGGAGGGAAAGCAUGUCAGAUGUUUUAUUUAUCACCAGUGCCGCCACGUUCAGGAAACAAUGGCCUUAGGUCUCUCUCAGCAUUCCUCAGAGCCAUAAAAAGUUAUUGACAAAAUAUGUCCAUAUAUAGCUAGGGUGCCUGAGAUUUUUGCACAGUACUGUCGUACUUUAAGCAUUGCAUUGCACUGCUGCCGCAAAAAUAAAACAAAUUUCAUGGCAUAUGUGAGUAAUUAUCAACCUGAUUCUGAUAUGGGUCUCUGUCGUGGACCGAGGGUGACAACAGGAGGAGGAGCUUAGGAGGGUUAAUGGCGCCUAACGGCGACUCCUUUGCUUGCGUCUUUGGAAACAGCUCUAUUUCCAUCUUUAAUAUCUUUAUUUUUCCCUUUCAGGGUUUCUUUUGAAGACCCUGACCUGGAGUUACACGCUGACCACGGUUCUUUGCGGGAAUGGUUUCACGACUGGCCGUUACUCGGCAUGCCAAGGGCUCGGCCUAAGAACUCAGCUCACCUUUGGAGGGUCGCGAUCUCGUGGCUCUGGAGACGGGCGGAUUGAAGAUGCUGCCUGACCUGCUGAGUAUUUCCAACAUUCACGCAUCUCAUUUAAAAAAAACAUUAAGAUACAAGGUGGACCAGACCCUCCGGCCCUUGAGACCACUUCACCCAGCAACACCCCAGUUCAAUCCUAGCCUAAAUACAGGACAAUUUACAAUGACCAAUUCACCUACCAACCAGUAUGUCCUCAGAGGAAACCAGAGCACCCUGAGGAAACCCACGCAGUCACGGGGAGAACGUACAAACUCCUUACAGGGUUUCUUUUGAAGACCCUGACCUGGAGUUACACGCUGACCACGGUUCUUUGCGGGAAUGGUUUCACGACUGGCCGUUACUCGGCAUGCCAAGGGCUCGGCCUAAGAACUCAGCUCACCUUUGGAGGGUCGCGAUCUCGUGGCUCUGGAGACGGGCGGAUUGAAGGUCGGUGUCUGGGCAGGAGAUCGUUGUGUCGUGGGAGAUGGAAGAUCUCUGGCUGUGUGCCCAGAGGCCUGAGAUCAUUGGGCACAGAGCUUGGAAAAAGCGAUGCAAUGGACUUUUAACAUCGUAAACCAGCAAGUUGUUUGUUAUGUCUCCCCUCUCGCUGUGAAAUGGAGAUGCCUCUUUCUCCCUUAUUAGGGAGAGAGAGAGAAAGCCCGUGGUAUGUCGAAUACUGGGUGAACAAGUAGUCUUUGGAGUACAGCAAUCUGUGUUCUUGCUGUUGCUUUGCCCACGCUUGAGUGCUUGGUGUCAGUGCCCAAGGUUUUUUUUUGCCUGUGGGGGGAGGGGGGAUUGUUGCUCACUGCUGCUUACACGCGGGAGGGAGGGGGAACUCAGGGGGGGGGACUUCGGGGUUCUAACAUUUAACUGUCAUUCAUUCUUUGGGGGCAUUCUUCUGUUUUCGUGGACGGUUGUGAAGAAAAAGCAUUUCAGGACGUACAUUAUAUACAUUUCUCUGACAUUAAAUGUACCUUUGGAGGGGGCAGGGAGAGGCGAAUCGUGGUUGGGAAAAGGGGAAAGGGGAAAGGGGAGGGGAGGGGAGUGGGAGGCACCAGAGAAACAUUCUGUAAUGACGAAUAAGCCAACUGUUUGGAAUCAAAUGACCUUGUCCGGUGUCUCCAUGCUGGGUGUGUCUGCACCCGCACCCCCCCAAGCCUGCCACUCCCGCUCUGCCACCUGCCCCACAUCCCUCCCACGGUGCUCCACCUUCGCCAUUCCCAACGUCCUUUGCUCCCACCGAUUUACAAAUUAGCUCUCCAGUCCAUGUGGACAAACUCAGAACUGUGCCAAAGUCUUCAGCACCUGAGACAUAUAUGUGCCAAAGACUUUCACACAGUUCUGUAUAUAUAUAUCACCAUAUACUACAUUGAGAUUCAAUUUCCUGCAAAGUAAAGAAGUCCAAUAGAAUUCAUGACAAGCAACCAAAGUGCAAAAGAAGACAAGAUAGCAUAAAUAAUUAAAAAGGGGGUUAAAAAUAAAUAAAUAAUACAGAGAACAUGAGUUGUCGAGUCUUUGAAAGUGAGCUCCAAGGUUGUUUGCAGAG